rnacentral:lncRNA from 1 species
AUGGUGGUGAGUGUGUUAGUUUACCUUUGGGUUCUGGGUUCGAGUCCUCAUAUGUGUUUUGAGGAAUUAAUUUAUUUUGGUUUUUUUUAAUUUUUAAAGAUUUACUUUUAAAAUUUGAAAGAAGAGGUUUUUCAAUUUCACAUUCUUUUCCUUUUUCCUAUUUUUUCCCUCUAUUAUUUUUCGGUUCUUCCCCAAAUUUCAAUUCUUUUGAUUUCUUCUUUCUUCC